UUGUCUUGCCGACGCCCCCCAUGCCGUAGACCCCAAUGGCUGUGACGUUGUCAUCUAUAAGCGCCUUCAUAACCUCAUCCAUGGCUUUUCUUGAUGCUCCAAACUCUUCAAAAUCUCCGGUGGACAUUGUAAACUCAACGUCAAAAGGUUGUAUUCUUUUGCACACAGAAUCUACAACUGCCUCCACAAGUUCUCUUUCAGUCCUACAUAAAAAAAGAAUCAAGGGUCAAAUAAUCACCCAGAACAAAAACUUAAUAAGAAAUCCAAAUACAUAAUCUGAACAUGGUACUUACUUAAAAUUGUUACUAUCCCACCCAGUUAAACUGGCCACUUUUUCUAAUGCAUCCCUCCACAGUUGAAUCUUCUUUGAUGUGUGUCGCCCGGAGGUUUCAUGUUUAGAAAAAGCUUCUCCAAAACUCCUCUUCUUCUGAUGUCGAACAUUAGAGGGUUCCACAUUGUAAAAAAGUGGCAGAAUUCUGUUGUCUUCCAUACACUCACAGAUCUUAGCAAGUUCCUCCAAACACCACGUAGAAGAGGCAUAGUUUGGAGAAAGGACAACAAUUGCAAACCUUGAUUCUUCAAUUGCUUCUAUGAGCUUGCGAGAAAUAGGAUCCCCUGGUUCAAGACCUCUAUCAUCCAUGAAUGUUAUAACAUCCCUGCUCUGCAGUUGAUCGCGUAUUUCGACUGUAAUCCCCUUGCGAGUGUCAGGACCCCUGAAACUCAAAAACACAUCGUACUUGCAGCGACGAGCUGAUGAUGAAGAAGAGGAAGAUGCAACCAGCUCAGCGGCAACACUGCCAGCCACGGCUCCUGGCGUAUCAGCACCGUCGUCGUUGUGAUCAGGAGAGCGAUUGAGAUCCCACAUCUUUUCUUCUUCUUCUUCUAUCUAGACAAAAUUUUCUGGAAGAUUUCAGAAGGAAAAAUCUACAAAUAAAUCUUAGCAUCAACCCCAGGUUUUUGAAAGAACAAGAAUACCAAACAAAACUAAAUCUUACCAGGGAGGAAAGUUGAGAAACUAAAUAAUCUGAUGAUGCAUGUAAGGCUAACUCAACCGAAGAAAAGCAAUUACUCGAGUGUUGAGAUCUAUAACUUCACUGAAUUCCAGGGAUUUUGAAACUCUUCCUUCAGAAUUUGUGGAGUUGCAGAUGGUAAAUGGAAUAUUUUCUAGCUUUUCCUUGUUCUUUUUUCUCUCACUAUAGGAAGAUGAUAAGGGAAAUGCUAGCAAAUUCUAUACCAUUUACCAAAAAGGAUAGUGGAAUGUUGACUCAAAAAGUCAAAGUCUUUCUAUCAAAGCUAAAGCUUGAGGCAAUUACUUGUGUCUAUAGCGUCUUCGUCUAUCUUUCCUUUCACAUUCCACACGUUGCAACCUGAAAAAGCACGAACUUGCUAAGAAGCCAUAAGGAAGGGAGGGAGGUGGCAUGAGGGAGUUUCCCCUGCCAGUGAACACCAAGUAUUGUUUUCAAGUUCUUGAUGAUUGUAAAUUUGUAAUCACAUUUACUCAUUUAGCAAGUAUGUUAGAGAACUUCACAUCCAAAAAGAAAGUAUAUAUAAACUCAGGUUCUUAACAUCCAACCAAGAGUUCUGCACCGAAAAACAAGUAAAGGAAAAAGAGACUAGAACUUACCAGAGAGGGACCAUUGCAAAGCGAGCCAGCCAUUUGAAAGACUUCACCGCUGGAAACUAGAUGCUCGAUCUGUUGAGAAAAGCAAACAAGGGAGGAGACUGUGAAUACACAGUAGUAUCUACUAUAAACCCACAAGCAAAUGCGACAGUAAAAUUCCGCUUACCACUGUUAAUCAUUGCACCAACAUUAACUUUACCACCCGUUAUUGGAUUCUGACUCAAUUCACAGGACAAAAGAACCAAUAAUUUCUCCAUGGCACCCCACCAAAGGUAAAAGCUUGGGGGAAAUGGGAAAUUAUGGGUCCUAUGGAAUCUUGACUUAAAGCUCCUCUUAUUCAAACUACUCCAAGCUAGAACAUCCAAAUGCUUGAUGAUUUUCUCUGCAUUUAUCCCAUUUCCCAAAUCAGAACUUAACUUGGCUAAUAUAAUCCUCAAUUCCUGAACAUGGCCAACUGAUCUCUUCAAUCUCACGAGGUUUAUGGGAAGCUGUUUUCACGUACUUGACACACACACACACACAAUUGUAGGCACUUCAGUUAGAUCAAUCAACGAAUCAUCUUCAAUACACAGACACAUGAGUGAAAUAUUAGCCAGUCAAUUAUGUUAGUGGGUGAGGUUUACCUAAACUAGGUAAUAUCUCAUAUAUAUGGAGGUUUCCAGUUGACAGCAAUUUUACAUAAUCAAUUAUGUCACUAGAUUAAUUGAGUAUAUGAUUUACAUGGAUUUCUUUCUCAUUCUAUUGGGGCUGAAAACUUUUACAGCAUGGAAGAGAGGGGAAGAGUGGAUUCACAUUCAACCAAAGGACAAUAAAAACAAAGUUGGAUACAGAAAAAGUUGAAGUGGUUGCUAUGAAAUUUGCUGAAGUUUCAGAAUUUUGUCGAUUUAUGAAACUUCUCACUUUUCCACCUACACAUACCAUUCAAUAUUUAGCAUCAGUACAUAUGCCUACCAAAUUCAAUUGUUAAUUGUGAACUAAACUCACUGAAUCAACUAACCAACCGUUUCCCAGGCAUCUUGACCAGAAAAAAAGUGACAUUAUAGUUUUGGACUACAGGUUAAACCUGUACAACCAUCCAACCAGAAAUAUUUCCUUUGUUCACGUUUCAUCAGAAACUAGUUCAUAUCUACACAGUACCACGAUGACUGCAGGUAAUGAUGUUUAAAAUUAUAUACACAUCCAUUGGCAAGAAUAUCGAAGAACUAAAUGUCCAAAACUCCAAAAGUUAACAACUUCAGCAAAUACACAACCAGAAAAACAGUAUGAUACAGAAACUGAGUUGUGCUACCACAUGCACAGAGACUCCAAAAAAAAACUAGGCGAAAGAGUUCCCCUUUUUUAGUUCUUUGCAGUGGAAGAACAUUCAACCUUGGAUCAGUUCUUUGCUAUUCCAAAGUAUAGCAAUGCCAAUAUAGAUAGUCAACAAGUUAAAAAGUCGAAAAAGAUUCAACCUUGGAUUUGCAAACCAUACAGACACUUGAGUUAUACAAACAUUGAGUACAAAUUUAAUUCCCUUUGCUUUGCUUACCUGAAGAACUACUUGAUCUAAAAAUCGUUUCAGUAUGUGGAACCAACCUGGUGGUCGAUCUUGUGCAAAUUAUGUUACUAACCAAAAGCACAUGCAAUAUUAUCACCCAUGAAAUGCACAUAAUUGCUGAAUCCAGGUAAUGCAGUAAAUGACACUGGUAGUAGAUAUGGAAUUACCAUGUUUCUUAAUCAGGUUCCAAUCCUCAGGCUGUAGGAAGGGCAAUGUGGACAUUAGUGGGAACCAAUCCAUGACAAGGGGAAGAGACCACAGCUAAAAGAGUUCCCCCUGCCAAUGAACAUUUGUAAUCACAUUUAGCAAACAUUUUGGAAAACCAAAUGUCUCGAAAUUAAAGCUUAAGCUAUUAUAAACAAACAGAUAACCAGUAGAUAAAUGAUACAGUACUGUUCACAAACAUGAUACUUGCAUGAUCAAUAAAGCAUUAUUAUUAAGGAAAUGCAACACUCAGCUGUCUUAAAGUUAAAAAUUUAAGCUAAAACAAAGAGGAAAAACAAUGAUAAGAGCAUGAGACGUCUUCCAAACUGGAGGUUACAGACGAUGACAUGAAACUAAGCCAAAGAGAUUUCUUGAAGGUUGUUUACUUGUUUGAGUAUAAAUUUAGAAAAAUUAGAAAAAAAAACUAUGACCGUGAACCAUUAUCCAAUUCUGAUGAGCAUAUAUUGCAGUCGUCAGCUCUUUUUCCUAUGUGGUUUGGAGUUUCAAACUUUUACAGUGAAACACAAAUACAUCGAUCCUUGGAUAAAACAGCCAGAAGCCAACAAAAUACAAAGUAUGCAUCAAUCAAUGAGUAAUCAACUAGAAUUUGCAAGCUAACAGAAAACCACCAUUGAACAGAAUUUGUAAUGGAAGGAGUAUGAACGCUAUUCCUCUCCCAUCAACCGAUUGAAGUUAAGUUUAGUAAGCCCCAAUCAGCGAGUUAGACCAAACCAUCUCUGAUUGCAACAUUGAGCACUGAGAUACAUGAAACUAGUAUCGACCAAUCAAUUGUAGUCGGAUAGAAUCCAACACAAACUAAGAAACCAGUAAUUGAUCUCCAAUCAAACUAACUCAAAUCAAACAGAGCCCAUAAACUGAUCAAAUACACACACAUGCAGAAACACAGUAAAUAAGGAACAAGAACGGUAGAGCUACUACCUGAUCAUCAUCAUCAUCGUGAUGACAGAAGCAUCACCUAUCGAGUAAACAAAGUUGUGUGUUCUGGAAUGUACAGAGUACAUCGAGUACUUUGGUAACUUCGGUAACUUCCCUCCGCGAUCCACGAUAUGGAGGUGGGUAACAGUCGAGAGGUGUGUUGAAGAAGCUUGAAUGGGGUAAGACCCAAAAUCAAAUCUACGGUCUGAGAGUUGCCGGAACGGCUGGGGUACGCCUUUCUCAUACCAUCGAAUCCGUUCCCGAACCGCGUAUCCGAUCGAUCUCCCCCCAUCCUUUCCUUUGUUUAAGGUAAGUUCAUCUAUACGUGUAUAAAUCUGAUGUUCCUGUUAUGGGUUCUGUAGUGUAAUGGGAGCAUAUAUCAAUUACAAAUUAAAGGUUGUAUACCGUAUAUAAUGAAUCAGUGUAUACAUCACCGGGUGGGUGUUGUUGGAUGUGAUUAAAAUGGCGCAGAAAUGAAAUCUGCACAUAUAUCGCAGCUUACGGCCUUGAAGAGAUGUCAAUGUUAUAGUCUGAGGCACCCAAGCAUUCUGCGGAGCGCAUCUUAUGCGAGCUUUAUGGGCUUUUGCGGGAGAGUACUUGCCUUACUGAGAAACGAGUUGCCACUGUAAGUACGUUCCCUCUACUUUGAUUGUUUUGUCAAAACUACUUUUGACAAAACUUUGAUUGUUUUGUCAAAACUACUUUAGAUGCUGAUUUUAGUCCCAUGGGAGAAGAGGGAACAGAUCUAAGAUUUUGCUUUUGGACUUGAUUAUGAUGUGUAGUUCACUAGUUCCCAAUAUGCAAUCCAAGCUUCUUUGGACUGAUUUUUCAAAUUAAUCCACCACAUUAAUCCCCUAGAUGUUGCUAAUGUUUCAAAAUUAUUAUUAUUAUUAUAUGGAGAUGAAGCUUGUUAUAUAUGUAAUGACCAUUAAUUAGGUAAUUCUUUUUUGAUACGGAGAAGGAAAUCUUGGCAGCGUCAAAUAUUUUGUUACUUUUGGUUUAGUGUGUUUUACAUUCUUAGUUUAAACAAUGGCUGGGAGUUGUGUAUUGUGAAUGGAGCAUAGGGUCUUUUUGAAUAAAUGGGGAGCAUAGGAAUAACAUGGCUUGGAUGUACUGGCUAAAAGAAAGUUCGUGAAGGCAACAUUGAUAAAGCGUUAGUUUUUUUUUUUUUUUUUUUUUUAGGUAAGAUGGCAACAUAGAGUCUCAUGAGAAUGGUGAGAAGCUGUAAAGGUUAGUUCGUCCAGGCAAGCUUCAGAUAAUUUAGCAGAAAAUAGUGGUUCAGCAGUGGCGCUUUGGCAAGCCAUAAUAAGAGUAUAAUGGGUCGCAUACAGGUAUGAGAUUGAAUAUAUUUGUUUUCCUAUGUAAUUUGUAUGCUUUUAGUGAGGGCCAGUAAAGAGUAGUUACCUAAAAGUGUUGGCAAAUGAUGUAAUCCAAAUAAAAAACCAACAUCUGAGCUGGUAAAUUCACUUCCCUAAUAGUAGAAAGAUGUGUAUAUGCAAUGGCAUUGGAAGAUGUUUGAUGCAAUUACAGAUGAGAUAUGCAAAAGUGAUACUAUCUCUUUUUGCUUACCCUUAAAUAAAGCAUUUCUGUACUUAAGAUAGUUAGUAAGUACACUGUAGUCUAUUUAACUAUAUGUUCAUUAUAAGUUUCUUCUUUUCCAUAAUCCAUGGUAUGUUUAUUGAACUGGUUAGGUGUUUCAAUUGAUUCCAAGCCCUUUGUUUUGUUUCAUUAUUUUCCAGCUCUUAUAUUUAGGAUUUAUGGGUUAAACUUAAGGUAGAAAUAAAAUACACAAAUCUGAAAUUGUGUUUCUGAGACCAGUUACCUUUUUUACUGAAACCGUACAAUUUCGUUUUGGAAUUUGAAGUUGGUGUCUUCAUAAGAAUUUCAGUAGACAUCUUAAGGAUCGUUUCAGAAUUGAAAUCUCAUGAAAAUGAUUUUCGUAAAAUUAGUUAUGAUUUUUCAAAGUUACAAGGUCUGCUCCAUAUAUAAUUUUCUGAAACAACACAAGUACCAAGUUCUUAUUAAUGUUACUAGCUAGCUUUCUAUUCAAUCGUGUCUGAAAGCGCCAGUGUUCCAGAACUAGGCAUUCCCAGGUACUAAAUGGAAUCAAGUCCUUUUCUCUUUGGACUUCAUACAAAUGACUAAGUAACCAUGAAGUUAGCUCUAGGCAUUAGUGAUUAGUAGUUAUGCUGGAAAGUAAUUAUAUUAUUUAUUUUCAUUAGUUACUCUUUUAUAAUAACAAAGUAGUCGAAACUUAUAUACAAUUUUUGUCAACACAAAUCACUCGCAUUGAACCAUCUGUUUUAUUUUCAUCCUAGAGCCCCCAUCAACACUCCCAAAAAUUGUAUUCUGGGUAUUGCGUCUUCGUCCUAUUCAGAUAUCAAAUACUUCAAUUUGCUGUAUCACUUUGAACUCGAGAAACCUUGCAAAAGAAGAGAGCCUAUUCGGCGCACUCGUCAUCUCCACCGUUUAAUUUUUUUUUUUUUUUUUUGGCGGGUCAAAAUGGACGGUGGAUACAUCCGGGUGCGCUGUAUAAUUUUCAGCAAAAAAUGUCUCUUUUCCUGUUUCAGUAAGCAUCUGUUACGCUCUGACUUCAACCACAUCACCAUCUGUGAGCCUUGUAUUGGGCAACACCAGCUGUCCAUUAACCAAAACCAGUUUUCCGUCUAGUCCUACCCUCCUAGCAGCAUCUGCAGCGGUGCUGCCCGUUGUCAACCUCAUUAUUGUCACCAUGCGGCCAACAUAUGAUCACCACUUCCCCAAGGACAACAGGUCCCCGUCCAUACUUGGCUUGUCCAUUUCCAUAACUCGCUUCAGACCGUAACUGCUCUUCCCACCUUAGCAUUGUCCUUAACAAAUGCACCUGGAAUUUGAAAGCAGACAUUAGCUUUUGGAGCCCUUUUUGUACAUGUAUGAUACAAGAACUCCGCAUAUACGCUCAACAUUAUUCGGGUUCAUGAAUUGAUGCAACGCAAGUGCAAACAAAAAAGAAUGGGUGUCCGAAUGUGGUCACAGGCAAACCUUGUUAUUGAUGCUAGUUUCCAUGGAAGUCGAUGCAACGGAGUUAAAUCUUGGCGUAGGUGUAAUGUAAUCGAGCUGUCUUCCCUCAAAGAUAGCAGAAACAACAGUCCAAUAUUCAGAUUCUUCUUCAUCUGUCAAAUCAAUCACCUGAAUGAAUGUUGGCAGUAAUCUCCCAAACUGAUCUUCCUGCACAAGAAAACAUAAUUUCAUAUUUUCAUAUUCACCUAAUGAGAGUUAAUAUAUUGCAUGGGACUAGUUAUGAUCUCUUAAAUCUCAAUCCCAUUGUAUGUAAUUACAUAAUAGAUAUAUCAUAUAUGUAUACACUCUUCGAGGUCAGACGGUUCAUUUUCAAAUGUAUCCCUUCGAGGUACAUCCAUGGCGAGUUAACAAGUCCAUGGCGAGUCAACAAGUUUUGGCCGCGAGGUACAUCCAUGCGAGGAACAUCCUCUCAAGGACAUCAUCUACUCGAGCUCGAGGUACAUCCAUGCAAGGUACAUUCCUUUGAGGACAUUAUCCACUCAAGGUGCAUGCAUGAUACAUUGUCUUCAAGAGCAGAGCGGGUGAGGUGCAUGGUAUCAUUCGUAGUGGUUCAAAUCCAAGGUACUUAUGUUAAAUGCAUGGUCAUCAAUUGAUUAGUAUGGUACUGGUUGAAUCAUGCGAGCGGCAUCUAUAAUACUUUGUUGUUGGAUACUUGAGUUUUAGUGCCUAUUCACAGGCUUUACUCACAGUCAUUUGAUGUAUGAACCGAGCCAAUAUCAGUGGCUUUGGGCAGCAUGAAACAUAAACCUCUUCAGUCAUUUUUGACAUUCAUGACUUCGAGGCUGGGGGGCAAUGUUUACACCCAAAUUAAUAUUUUACUAGACAAUAAUUGUUUGAGUGAAUAUUAAUUAAAUUCAUGAUCCACACCGGCGAGCCCGAAAUAUUGGGUUUACAAGUGAUGGUUUGCCAGCAGAGUCAUGCGAGCUGGGUAGCAGAGUUCGCCUGUGAAAAGGACUUUGCAUGAGAUCAAGAGGUGGACUUUGCGUAGAAGAUAAAAUCCUAAUAUGGAAGCGAGGCGAGGUGACUUCGCCGUAGGUGACUUCGCCAUAGGAGACUUCGCGAGGGAGUAAAAGAAGAGUUCAACUUCACAUGCGAGUUGGACGGAAGAGUUCGCGCAGGUGUACCAGAUGUGGAAUUGCUGUCAAAGUUAUUCUAUAUACAUAUGUACUACAAUUGCAAUGAAUAUAUGCAUGCGAGCCGUGAUGCAAGUCUACGUGAUUCAAUCAUCAUCUAUAGCAAGAGGUAUCCUAAACUAACCACAUUGCCUAGAAGAAAGGCGACGGCGAAGAGAAGUCUACAGGUGAGGGGAUUGUGUGCAUGCGAGCUCGCGUGAGAGAGAAGGAAAGAGGCGGGCUCCGCUUGGUGUGUAUAUAUAUAUCAAUUAUAUAUAUAUGUCAAUUGAGAGCUAGCAAGGCGGACUCCGCCGCUUGCAAUAUAUCAAUUGAAAAGCUAGCAAUUAUACUUGUUUGUCUCUAGUGUGAGGUGAUUGUUUGGUUAAGGAUUUCAUUCCUGGAUUAAUAUGGAUAAGUGCGAGUGCAUCCACAAAGUUCUCAAGUCUCUAUGAGGAGGUUGAACACUAUCUCGCUACCUAGCUGGCAGAGUUAUAUCAAGAGGCAACUAAUCACGUCCGGUAAGUGAUUAACAUCGCCUACGCCAUAUUUAUCGUUGAAGACUCUUAUAAGUCUUUGAUAUGCUUUGGGUCAAUAUCUGUGGCCCUAAAUAGCUCUAUAUAAGAGAGUUUGAGGAUCUGAUUUAGCUCUACAACAAAUCAACAACUCAACAAUUACAAAAUACAAUACAAUUCUCGACCUAGUCGAACCUCCAGACGCUCCCCGCUUUCGUUUCCUUGUACGCUCUCCGGAGCUUUGUCUUUUUUCCUCUCCUUUCCAAUUGAAGCUCUGCUCGACCCUACGUCGAGUAUCGAUAUUGUGACGCUCAGGCGGACUACUGUAAGUCCUUGCCCAGUACGCAAGGCGAAUCUGAAGAACCCUGCGGUAGAGUUGGUGCUCUCUCCAUCCUCAGUCGCUUGAUUAGAAGCAGAAGGCUAAGCGCACCCCGCUACUACAACCACUACUUUUCCCGUCCGCGCGGUGGCACGCCCGCAACAACCAAAAAAGACUUUGCACGCGCAGACUUACUGGUGUGGCCAAAACAGGAGGCAGAGCAUAACUGUAAAAAGAGCUUUCCAAUUAAGGUUCCUCGAAUGGCUUUUACAAUCUCUCUGGCUGUUUUGAAAGACACGAUCCAGCAAAGCUUCUCAAUUAGAUUUGCAGCCUCAGCUAGAUGACCAACCCUGAACAUAAUGAAACACCAGUGAAAGAGUGAACUACUUCGAGAAAAUUCUUUCUUUCAAGUAGCAAAAAGACUACUUCUUGCGGUUACAAUUAUCCUAUGAGUUAAUUAUCUUGAAUGUUAUCUUGAAUGUCAAUUGACUGCUUCUCUUGAAUGAGUUUAUGACAUCAAGAUAUCUUUGUAUAUUCUGUUUUUAGAAGAAACUCAAACAAAUGUUCUAAUGUAUUAACUGAGAAUUUACCCUGUAAGUUCAUCAAGUGCACCCGCCACAGUCCCACAUAAUUAACAACAAAAGAGAAAAGAGCUUAAUUUGGUUUACAGGGAUGCGUCUUUGUAAAGGAUCUUGAUGCAAAUGACAGAAGUUGUUAAGAAUGUAAUUCAAAGUGCUGAGACUACUUCUCUCUUCAAUCAUCCCAUGCUAAUUGUAAACACAUAUAUAUUGAUGACCACAAAAUCAUCACUAGAAGAACUAAUUUCAAAAACAAUUUCUCCUCAUCCCCAUGGCUAGCUGCAAUAACAUUGAUGACUAACACUUCCCACAUAGACUAAUUAAUUUCUAAAGACAUAAUAUAUUUUAUGGAGACAUAUAUAAUAUAUUUUAUAUGUACAUGUGUGUGUGUGUGAUUGAUAGUACCGAUUCAUAGGUUACAAAUAUCUGCUUCAUAUGCAAAGUAUAUUUCCACUUACAACCUUCACGCCAAAAAAUUCAUAAUUUCUUAAAUAUAUCAAGACUGAAUGAAUUGACUAAAUACAUGAUGUAUGCAUUCAUCCUGAUUGAUUACUUUCAAACUAGACCAGUAAAUCAGUAAUUUUUAUUAGUAAGUAGUGAAAGCAUAACAAUCAUCACGGAUACAAAGUUUUAUGUGUGAUACUGUUUUUGUUUCACAAAUUAAUUAUCUUCCAUCAAUUAAUUAUCAAAUUGAAAAAGAACUGAUUGAUAAUGUAUGAUAACAAAGGAAAAUAUGAAAAUGUGGUUAAAAUUUGCUUGUUGCACCCAUACGUAGUAAAUUAGGAAAGCAAAUGAAUCAUGAGAACUCCAUAUCCAUAUAAUUUAGUAAAAAUAACAAUUUUUUUUUGGCAUUGCAAGAAAUCUACCAUUCAAUGAAAAGAAAAAAGAAAAGAAAAGCUUUUGUGAUGAUCUGAUCAGUGAUCACACAACAUACCUGACAAAGAAAUAGAGUUUAACUUGGUUACUUCCUGCUCAGGAAGCCAGAAGUUGAUCGAGGGACCAUUGCAAGUGAGCCGGCCAUUUGAGAGACUUCACUGUUGGAAACUAGAUGCUCUGUUGCCUGGAAUUGGGAAAGAAAAAUAUUUAUUAUUAAAUAUUAUAAAUUUUAGAGAAAAUUUUUCAAAUGGUGCCCCAAGUUAAGUCCAUUCAUCAUUUUGACAUCUUAAUUUUGAAAACUAUGAUAAUGGUACAUCAACACUUAAACCCAAUCGAAUAUUAGUUUCCUUCGUGAUUGACACCGUACCGUUAAGUUGGACUUUAUACAUGGGUAAAAUUGUCUUUUCAUGUUUUCCCUCCACAAACAUUUCCCUCCAGAUUAAAGUCCUUUUUUCCAUCAGUAUCAGAAUUUGUAGCGAGCCAUGUGUUGGCUGCAUACAAAAAUUAGAGACAUCUAGAAAUUAUAAUACACCAUUAGCCAUUAAUAAUAUCCAUCAUUAAAAGUAGCUUUUGCAACCCACCAAUGAGAGAAAAAAUCAAUAUUGAUUAAAAUACAUUUUGUAUCAAGUAUAGAAGUUCAUGAAACAUAUAUACUUAAUAGAACAACAAAGAUAACAAGGUAAUAUGACUCACAUUCAUAGUUUAUAUCUUCAGGUUGAGAAACUCUAAUUCAACUUAUAAGGUUUGUGGAGGGAAAACAUGAAGAGACAAUUUUUCCCAUGGACAAAGUCCAACUUCACAGUGUCAAUCACAGAGGGAACUAAUAUUGGGUUGGGUUUAAGUGUUGAGGUACCAUUAUCAUAGUUUUCAAGAUUGAGAUGUAAAAAUGAUGAAUCGACUUAACUUAGGGCUAAGGGUGGGCAAAAAACCCGAGCUGGCAAAAAAAACUAGACCGGACCGGCCGGCCCGAUCGAGCCGGGCCGGGUUUUUUUACGGUCCCUUGUUCAGUUGGUGUCCAUUCGGGCCGGGCCCAGAUGUACCCGGGCCGGUCCCGGUCCCUAUAUUUGCUUGCAAUUUUAGGCUCGAAAGCCCGGUGUCCAUAUAUGUCAUUCAGCGAUUGGUUAAUUUUGGCAAGCUUAUACUAGUAGCAUAGGUCCAACCACAUAGGAUUAGUCAAGCCCUAAGUCAGUAAGUCCAACUAAUCCCUCUUCCUCAGUUCCUCUGCCUCACUUCCUCUGUUCCUCAGUUCCUCUCUAAUCGACAAAUCCCUUCUGCUUGUGAGUCUCGACGAGACGACGACGGUCACGACUCACGACGCCUCUCUUCGGCUCUUCCUCUCUGCCUUUCGGCUAGACGACGACGCACGCCUCUCUUCCUCUCCGGCCUCCGCGGCUCUCCUCCUAUCCGGCCUCCGCAGCUCUCUUCCUCUCCGGCUCCGGCCUGCGCGCGUCUCUUCCUCUCCGGCCUCCGCGAGUCUCUUCCUCUCCGGCGUCCGCGCGUCUCUUCCUCUCCGGCGUCCGCGCAUCUCUCGUUCUCCGCCUCAGUCGCCCCGGUAAGCCUUCGCUUCCAUCUCUCUUCUCUCAUUCCCUCUCUUCCUCUUGAAUCUCUAACUCUAUCUCAAUCGAUUAUGAAUUUGUGAUUUUGGACUUUGAUUGUGGAGUUGUGGUUGUGUUAAACUGUUAAUGACUGUGGAGUUGUGGUUGAGUUAAUGAUUGUGGUCUGUGGAGUUGUGGUUGUGUUAAUGAUUGUGAUUUAAUAAUACUGUUUAAGUGCUGGUUGUGUACGUGUGUACUUGUGUUUAUGCAGGUUUGAUUGUUUAAGAUGUCGUCGUCUUCUUCUUCACAAUACGGCUGUUAUUCAGUCAGUAGUGAUAGUGACACUGGGUGAUUGUUUUUAUUUAUGUUACCAAUCUGCAUUUGAAACUUUAAUUUGCUAUGGAACCAUUGGAACAUUGAAAUGUUGUUUAGUAGUUUAGUUUAUGUUUGUGACUUGUGAGUUGUGACUGGGAGUUUAUGACAGUUGGUUUGCAUAGUUGCCUAUUUUCAAACUUUGACAGUUUGACAUGUUGCAGAUUUCAUACUUUUUGAUCUCUUAUGUUCAAGGCCGGUGUACAUGGCUUUUUUGAGAUGCCUUCAUUGUUAUGAGUAGUUGUUGUUUAUGGCUAUAUAGGUUUGGAAUUUGUAUUUUAAACUUGCUGUUAUGACUUAUGAGUUAUGAACUUAUGAUAGAUUGAUGGAAUGAUGGAUUGAUGGUUGCACUGCCAUUUCAUUUACAAGUUCAUUUUUUGCAAUUGUGAGAGAUGAGAAUGUAGUUUAUGCACUUUUGCAGCUAAUGUUGAUAUGAAAAGCUGAUUGACUGUAAAGUCUGUAAUGCAUUAAGCAUUUGUACAGAUUUUGAAAUUUUGUGUUUUGACAGAAUUUGGGCCCGAAAACCGGAAGGCCCGGCCCGGCCCGGCCCGGUUCGGGCUUUUACCGGUCCCUUGUUUUAUAAGAGAAAAGCCCGGCCCGGGUGUACAGUAACCGGUCCGGGCCCGGGCCCUAUAAAUGCUAUGCCGGUUUGGGCCCGAGCCCAGCCCUACUUAGGGCACCAUUUGAAAAAUUUUCUCUAAAUUUUAAGAUAAAAAUAACAUUUUAGGGUGUCUAUAAUAUUGCUCGUAAUUCGUAUUACUAGAGUAAAGAAAACAAACAAUCAUCAUUAACGUGAUGUAUUACGUAUAAUUUUGAAUUUUUUUGUUCACAUUAUAAAGGAUAACAAAGAAAAAUGUCAUUUUGCAUUGCUUUGUGUUCUGGGAAGAAAGAAAAAAUGAAUCACAGAUAUUAAUUGAUCAACGGUCAAAUCACAAUUUUGUUAGAAGAAAAAGACAAAUUAAGUAAUUAUUUCACACAGGGUUCACAAAGAGACAUACCUGGCACUUAAAAGCUCGUACAAUUGUAGAUCAUUAAGUUGGACUGGGUACGUGCUGCCAAAGUAGUCAGAAGCGGAGGUUGAAAAUGAAAACUGGUUCCUACUUUCCAAGCCUUCAAAGAGAUCAGAAGAGGUUAAAAAUGGAAGACUGGGGCAAUCCACCACAAACAAUUGUUCCAGAGAAGGACACUCAAUGUCAACAGCACCACUUGCACCAUACAACAAAGGAAGUUCCUUCAAAACCAAGUUCUUCAAUUUUGGUAGAACCGUCUUCUCCUUGUUCACUGCUUCCAUUACUCUUUCCAACAAAGGACACCACUCUACAAGAAGGUCUUCCAAUUCAACAAGACACUCAGCUACAUCAGAUGCAAACAGACUUUGCAGCAGCUCGCAACGGUAAAUCGUCAAAAUCUUAAGACUCUGGAACAUUGCAUGUGGAGCAGGACCAUUACAUAUGUUUCUUGGUGCUUUUAGACACAGCAAAUGCAUCUCCCUCAAUUUUGAUUGUUCUGGCUCGAACCCUUCGCAUCUAAACACAUAUUCCAAUUCAUACACACAGUUUAAAUCUAGUUUCUCCAGAUUUGGUAGUCUCUGUACAAAUUCUGAUACACUCCUCAAAAUCUUACCAAAAAACACAUGAAACACCUUGAGAUUUAAGAGAGACCUAGGUGGUAACUCACCAACACACAACUCCUCCAGGUGGAUUAGAAAUAUCAGACGCAACUCUUCCAAAUUCUCAAACACGGGUCCUGUUUCAACUCGUCUUGUUGUGUUCAUCAACUCUUUCAAGUACACAUAGGAAUCACUUAAAUCCCCACAUACUCUGAGAUGUUUGAGUUUACCUAACCUCCUCUGGUCAUAUUCCAUAACAAUGUCACUCAUCCCUUUGCAGCGCUUGUACUCUAGCUUCUCUGUUUUCUCUGUCACCGCUUUGAUAAACCAAUCAGGUAAGGUACUGAUGGUUAUUUCACGAAGAAGCAAGGAUCUUGAUUUACGAUCAAACUGAUAAUUUGGAUCGCUUGUGCAUCCGCCAAUACGUAUAUCAAAGUAAAACCAACCCGGUUCGACCUCGACAUUUUUAGGGAUGCAUUCUGCAUUAGGUAAGGAAACUUGCAAAUUUUUUAACUUUGAUAAACCAGCUAGCUCACCAAAGCCAAUAUUGAUUUGAUCUCCUUCUCCCUCAAUUGGACUUUCCCAGUUCACAAAUCCACAAUACAUCAUGUACAAUUCUUCUAAUUUAUGCAGCUUUGAUAUCACUUCAGAUGGAAUUGUGACAAUACCUCCACCUUUAAAACUACUGCCACCGAUAUCCAACAUCCUUAGAUUGGUCAAAUUUCCUAUUUCUCUAGACAGCUCCGUAAGAGGAUAUUGUCUCAUACUAAGAAUCUCAAGCUUCUUAAGUUUUCCGACUAUGGAAAUGUCAACUGCUUUCAAGCAAAAAUCUAGAUGCAAAGCUUGGAGCUUGGUCAGGAGAUUGAAUGAUUGGGGCAGCAAUGAAAUGUUGGUGCGGCUAAGAUCUAACACUCUUAAUUCAUUCCGACUUUGGGAAAAGGUAUCUGGGAUCUCAUUUAAAUACCGAUUCCCUUGUAGUAAUAAAAUCUUCAGUUUUGGACCUAUCAACUCUUCGGGUAGACUGUGAAGUUUAUUCUCCAUUAGUGAGAUAGCAUAGUAGUCUUCAUGUGAUCGACAUGACCAAUCCUUAAGACCACAUCCAGCUCUCACCAAAAACCCAUGUCCAUCUUCACAUUUUGCAAUUCCCAUGGCUGUAUCCCGGGCGACGUCGUGCAUCCUUACACGUCCACCAUAAUAUUCACUAUCCAAAAGCAAGCUAGAAUCUAUCAGGUGCUUGACCACUGUAUCUGCUAUUGCUCUGGCUUCAUAUAUUGUGUCGGUGUCUCGAAACAAUCCUUUCCCAAUUGCAUACUUGAACAAGUCUUCGAUUCGGAUGUCAUAGUCUUCUGGAAAUAGGCAACACAACAAGAAGCAUGAUUUGUAGUCCUCAUUUUUCAAGUAAUCAUAGCUUAAUUUCAAACAUUUGAAAGCUGUGUCAUCAUGGUCAGGGCUGGCCAUUUGCGACUUCUUUAAUUGUUGAGCUGCUGAUUGCCAUUCCGCCAGAUCUUUAUCUCCAAGUGCCCUUGCAACAGCUAUCAGGGCAAUCGGUAGACCCCUACAUUCUCUAGCUACCUUCCUCGCUACAAUAUCAAAAUCAGGGGUAUCAAAAGAUCUUCUUGUUUUCUUGACAAACAAGCUCCAGGAAUCUGGUUCUGAUAAGAAAUGGAGAGGAAUGCUUGCUUGGCUGUCCAUGGAAUGACAAACAUGCCGACUCCUGGUGGUGAGUAAGACUUUGGAAUUGCAUUUUUUGAGCUCGUCAUAGCUGGGAAUUCCCAUUUCUAACAAAUCUAUAAACCCCCAAACGUCGUCCAAGAUUAUGAGGACAUUGGUUUUCCUCAUUAUCUCUUUAUACAAUCUAGAGGCUCUUUCACUUUCUUGUAACUGGAAGUCAGGGCCCUGUAGCUUCGCCAAUAAUGUGUGUUGAAUUCUUUCGAUGUUGGGGCUUUGGGAUACAACAACCAUAACCACAUGAUGAAAAAUCCCAUUUUUGCAUAAUUGAGCAGCGACAUGUUUUACCAGGGUUGUCUUGCCGACUCCGCCCAUUCCGUAGACCCCAAUGGCAGUGACGUUGUCAUCUUUAAGCUUCUUAAUAAUCUCACCCAUGGAUUUUCUUGUUGCUUCAUACGCUUCAAAAUCUCGGGUGGACAUUGUAAACUCAACGUCAAAAGGUUGUAUUCUUUUGAACACAGAAUCCACAAUUUUCUCCACAAGUUCUGUAUCAGUUCUACAAGGAAGGAAUAAUUAAGGGUCAAAUAACACAUCCAAAAGCUGUGAGCAUAACUCUCAGAUAACUGAAAUAGAGUAAU
rnacentral:lncRNA from 1 species